AAGGACAGGAAGUUUUGUGAAGCUGCCGUCUCUUCAUUAUCGCAGCUCAGACCAGACCACUGCACCGAUAAAUGAGAGAAGUGCUGAGGUGCCUGUGCUCUAGAGGAUCAUGGUCUUCAGAUACCUCUAUCCAGUGGUCUUGAAGUCGUUCCUCCUGUAGAUCCGCAGGUUCAAACCCCUUCAGCUCCAGUCCACCACAGUCCAGCACCAGAUCACAGAGUGGACGUAACAACUGAGGACGGCUUUUAACUUUUGGCUGCUACAGGACUGAAUGUGACCCCUGGACCGGAUUACGCACAGGUACUCUGUUAAACUCUUCUAAACUAAUUUUUCUGUAAAGAUUUCACUGGAUUGAUUGUGGUGCUAACACCCUUGAUCUGUGCUUGAGGUGUGUGCCUCAGAAUCUCAGGGUGUAGUCAAUACUGAAUUUCCAGGCCGUAUCCAGAUCUGGCGAUGACCUUAGCCUGGACACGAUGACGAUGACAAUGCAGUGCUGAAGUGCCAACUAGCCUCUCCCUAUGGAGGAUCCCUUUCCCACUCUACAGAUUAAGCGAUGUGAAUUCGUUUCGCGUCCCUACCCUGAAGUGAUUAGAAAAUCUG